rnacentral:rRNA from 1 species
UCCGCGUCCCAUUAGCUAGUUGGUGGGGUAACGGCCCACCAAGGCGACGAUGGGUAGCCGGUCUGAGAGGAUGACCGGCCACACUGGGACUGGAACACGGCCCAGACUCCUACGGGAGGCAGCAGUGGGGAAUAUUGCGCAAUGGGCGAAAGCCUGACGCAGCGACGCCGCGUGAGGGAUGAAGGUCCUCGGAUCGUAAACCUCUGUCAGGAGGGAAGAACCGCCACGGUGCUAAUCAGCCGUGGUCUGACGGUACCUCCAAAGGAAGCACCGGCUAACUCCGUGCCAGCAGCCGCGGUAAUACGGAGGGUGCGAGCGUUAAUCGGAAUCACUGGGCGUAAAGCGCACGUAGGCUGCUUGGUAAGUCAGGGGUGAAAGCCCGCGGNUCAACCGCGGAAUUGCCUUUGAUACUGCCGAGCU